rnacentral:tRNA from 1 species
GCUGCUAUGGCGCAGUGGUAGCGCAUCCCCUUGGUAAGGGGAAGGUCGCGAGUUCGAAUCUCGCUAGCAGCU